CUCGUUUCUCUGCCUUCAGUGUCCAGAGUGACAGUAGAUUCAUCUUCCUUCACUGUGAACUAAGCCUCUGUGACGCCAGAAACAACAUCUGUGUCCCCUCUUGUGGAGACAGGAUACCGCGCUCUGUUCCAGACUCAGCUCAGCUUGAUCUCCUCAGCAUUGGACCAAUUGCCUGGGACAAGUGACCUGUUAAAGGAGUGAGCUGGGCAACUCUACAAACUGAUGCAUGCUUAUUUUUUUAAGAUAUUUUUAGUUUAGAUGGUGUCUAAUUUCUUAUUGAUUAAAUGCCCUUCAUUUUAAUAGUUUCGGUGAGAAGGCAGUGCUCAGCGCUGACUCUGUUUUAGCUCCCUACAAACUUUGUGUGAACUGUGAAAAAAAAAAAUGCAAUAAAGAUACAUUAACAGGAAAAUAAGUUGCAAUAAAAAUGUGCACGAAAAUAUGACUUGUGGCAAUUCAUGAAAUGACUAUAAAUGUCUGAGAUUGAUUGUGAAUGUAGAAAAUGAUGCUGUUAGCUGAUUAUCAACAUGAAACUUUGUAAUCAUAACAAUAAACAGCAUUUAGCCUUUAUACAUUCACCCAUUGUGGAUACUACUUGUAAAGUGUCCUCAUAGAACAUAGA